AUUGAACGCUGGCGGCAUGCUUUACACAUGCAAGUCGAACGGUAACAGGCCUUCGGGUGCUGACGAGUGGCGAACGGGUGCGUAAUGCAUCGGAACGUACCCAGAGGUGGGGGAUAACGCAGCGAAAGCUGUGCUAAUACCGCAUGUGAUCUGAGGAUGAAAGCGGGGGACCGAGCAGCAAUGUUUUGCCUCGCGCCUUUGGAGCGGCCGAUGUCGGAUUAGCUAGUUGGUGGGGUAAAGGCCUACCAAGGCGACGAUCCGUAGCUGGUCUGAGAGGACGACCAGCCACACUGGGACUGAGACACGGCCCAGACUCCUACGGGAGGCAGCAGUGGGGAAUUUUGGACAAUGGGCGCAAGCCUGAUCCAGCAAUGCCGCGUGCGGGAAGAAGGCCUUCGGGUUGUAAACCGCUUUUGGCAGGAACGAAACGGUGUCCGCUAAUACCGGGCGCUAAUGACGGUACCUGCAGAAUAAGCACCGGCUAACUACGUG
rnacentral:rRNA from 1 species